GAUGAACGCUGGCGGCGUGCCUAACACAUGCAAGUCGAACGGAGUUAUGAUGUGAGCGGGAAGUGCUUGCACUAAACAAUCUUUUCAUAACUUAGUGGCGGACGGGUGAGUAACGCGUGGGUAACCUGCCCUGUACUGGGGGACAACAGUUGGAAACGACUGCUAAUACCGCAUAAGCGCACGGGAUCGCAUGAUCUAGUGUGAAAAACUCCGGUGGUACAGGAUGGACCCGCGUCUGAUUAGCUGGUUGGUGAGGUAACGGCCCACCAAGGCAACGAUCAGUAGCCGGCCUGAGAGGGUGAACGGCCACAUUGGGACUGAGACACGGCCCAAACUCCUACGGGAGGCAGCAGUGGGGAAUAUUGCACAAUGGGGGAAACCCUGAUGCAGCGACGCCGCGUGAGUGAAGAAGUAUUUCGGUAUGUAAAGCUCUAUCAGCAGGGAAGAAAAUGACGGUACCUGACUAAGAAGCCCCGGNUAACUACGUGCCAGCAGCCG
rnacentral:rRNA from 1 species